rnacentral:rRNA from 1 species
UGGGGAAUAUUGGACAAUGGGCGCAAGCCUGAUCCAGCAAUGCCGCGUGAGUGAUGAAGGCCUUAGGGUUGUAAAGCUCUUUUACCCGGGAWGAWAAUGACGGUACCGGGAGAAUAAGCCCCGGCUAACUCCGUGCCAGCAGCCGCGGUAAUACUAA